rnacentral:rRNA from 1 species
CUUCCCACGGGCCGUAAACCCAAGGUUUCCAGGGGAAGGUUCGUCCGCCCUGGGUUAGUCGGGACCUAAGCCGAGGCCGAAAGGCGUAGGUGAUGGACAACAGGUUGAUAUUCCUGUACCGCCAAUAAGCGUUUGAGAGAUGGAGUGACACAGUAGGAUAAGCUAACCGUACUGUUGGUUAUGUACGGCUAAGCAUUGAGGCAGUCUAAAUAGGCAAAUCCGUUUAGACAAUGCUAGGAUGUGAUGGGGAAGCCCUUCGGGGCGAAGUAGCUGAUUUCACACUGUCAAGAAAAGCUUCUAUCGAGUUUAAAGGCGCCCGUACCGUAAACCGACACAGGUGGGUGAGGAGAGCAUCCUAAGGCCAGCGAGAGAACUAUUGUUAAGGAACUCGGCAAAAUGACCCCGUAACUCAGGGAGAAGGGGUGCCUGUCUAUGACAGGCCGCAGAGAAUAGGCCCAAGCGACUGUUUACCAAAAACACAGGUUUCUGCUAAGUCGCAAGACGAUGUAUAGGAGCUGACGCCUGCCCGGUGCUGGAAGGUUAAGGGGAUCUGUUAGAGCAAUCGAAGCAGUGAACUUAAGCCCCAGUAAACGGCGGCCGUAACUAUAACGGUCCUAAGGUAGCGAAAUUCCUUGUCGGGUAAGUUCCGACCCGCACGAAAGGCGUAACGAUUUGGGCACUGUCUCAACAAUAGACUCGGUGAAAUUGUAAUCCCGGUGAAGAUGCCGGGUACCUGCGACAGGACGGAAAGACCCCAUGGAGCUUUACUGUAGCUUGACGUUGGGUCUUGGUACUACAUGUACAGGAUAGGUGGGAGACUAUGAAGCAUGGACGCCAGUCUGUGUGGAGUCAUCCUUGGGAUACCACCCUUGUAGUACUGGGAUCCUAACCAUAGGCCUUGAAUCAGGUCUUGGAACACCGUCAGGUGGGCAGUUUGACUGGGGCGGUCGCCUCCUAAAAAGUAACGGAGGCGCUCAAAGGUUUCCUCAGCACGGUCGGAAAUCGUGCGAAGAGUGUAAAGGCAAAAGGAAGCUUGAUUGCAAGACAUACAGGUCGAGCAAGGACGAAAGUCGGACUUAGUGAUCCGGUGGUACCGCAUGGAAGGGCCAUCGCUCAACGGAUAAAAGCUACCCUGGGGAUAACAGGCUUAUCUCCCCCAAGAGUCCACAUCGACGGGGAGGUUUGGCACCUCGAUGUCGGCUCAUCACAUCCUGGGGCUGUAGUAGGUCCCAAGGGUUGGGCUGUUCGCCCAUUAAAGUGGUACGCGAGCUGGGUUCAGAACGUCGUGAGACAGUUCGGUCCCUAUCCGUCGCAGGCGUAGGAAAUUUGAGAAGACCUGUCCUUAGUACGAGAGGACCGGGAUGGACGUACCUCUGGUGUACCAGUUGUUCUGCCAAGGGCAUGGCUGGGUAGCUAUGUACGGAAUGGAUAAGCGCUGAAAGCAUCUAAGCGCGAAGCCAACUUCAAGAUAAGAUUUCCCACCGUAAGGGUAAGACCCCAGGAAGACUACCUGGUUGAUAGGUCGAAGGUGUAAGUGCAGUAAUGUAUUUAGCUUAUCGAUACUAAUAGGUCGAGGACUUGAUC